UACGUAGGGUGCGAGCGUAAUCGGAAUUACUGGGCGUAAAGCGUGCGUAGGCGGUUCUCCAAGUCCGUUGUGAAAUCCCCGGGCUUAACCUGGGAAUGGCAGUGGAAACUAGGGGACUUGAAUCUGGCAGAGGGGGGUGGAAUUCCACGGUGUAGCAGUGAAAUGCGUAGAGAUGUGGAGGAACACCGAUGGCGAAGGCAGCCCCCUGGGCUGAGAUUGACGCUGAGUGCACGAAAGCGUGGGGAGCAAACAGGA
rnacentral:rRNA from 1 species